AACGAACGCUGGCGGCAUGCCUAACACAUGCAAGUCGAACGAGACCUUCGGGUCUAGUGGCGCACGGGUGCGUAACGCGUGGGAAUCUGCCCUUGGGUUCGGAAUAACAGUAGGAAACGACUGCUAAUACCGGAUGAUGACGUAAGUCCAAAGAUUUAUCGCCCAAGGAUGAGCCCGCGUAGGAUUAGCUAGUUGGUGAGGUAAAGGCUCACCAAGGCGACGAUCCUUAGCUGGUCUGAGAGGAUGAUCAGCCACACUGGGACUGAGACACGGCCCAGACUCCUACGGGAGGCAGCAGUGGGGAAUAUUGGACAAUGGGCGAAAGCCUGAUCCAGCAAUGCCGCGUGAGUGAUGAAGGCCUUAGGGUUGUAAAGCUCUUUUACCCGGGAUGAUAAUGACAGUACCGGGAGAAUAAGCUCCGGCUAACUCCGUG
rnacentral:rRNA from 1 species